rnacentral:rRNA from 1 species
UCUGGUGGCGAUGGCGAAGGGGAAACACCCGACCCCAUACCGAACUCGGCAGUUAAGCCCUUCAGCGCUGAUGAUACUGCAACUUAAGUUGUGGGAAAGUAGGACACCGCCAGGA